AGUAGGCCCAGAGCCAUAGAGAGAGUUGCGACAACUCCGUUCACUCCAAUGGACCAGUUUUUUACAGCAAUGGCGGAUCGUGGAGCCGCUCAAUAGUUCCCGGAAGUUAGCGCUCAUACUAUCAGCGCCGUAGAGAUGCAGCAGAAGAGACCGCUGUGAUGAACUUUUAAAAGAACGAGAACCACCUGAAGACUCCCUGUAAAGAGACAUCAACCUCACAAUGAGUCUCUUCACUGGUUUUGGCAAGUCUUUCCCUGCUCUUUGUG